rnacentral:rRNA from 1 species
CAGUAGCCGCGGGAAUACGUAGGUCCCGAGCGUUGUCCGGAUUUAUUGGGCGUAAAGCGAGCGCAGGCGGUUAGAUAAGUCUGAAGUUAAAGGCUGUGGCUUAACCAUAGUACGCUUUGGAAACUGUUUAACUUGAGUGCAAGAGGGGAGAGUGGAAUUCCAUGUGUAGCGGUGAAAUGCGUAGAUAUAUGGAGGAACACCGGUGGCGAAAGCGGCUCUCUGGCUUGUAACUGACGCUGAGGCUCGAAAGCGUGGGGAGCAAACAGGAUUAGAGACCCCAGUAGUCCCUGUCUCUUAUACC